rnacentral:lncRNA from 1 species
GUCCAUUAGACCUUAGUGUCCGUCUUGAGUGACGCGGCGCAUUUUUUAGUGAUGAGGUUGGUCCCGCCGCUAACUCAGGUGUGUACGGCAGGUGAAGAUUCGGGUCCCGUGGUGCAAAACGUGGUGGCUUGCGGACUCGCAGCCCUACGUGUUCAGGCCUUUAAAGUACUGUUUGCUUUUGUCGGAGCUCCGCAGCUCCACCUCCCGGCGAGGGGCAGGCUCGAGUCUGGAGGCGGGGCUUGUCACUUUGGCUUGUCAGUGGGUUCCCUGAGCUCCAGCCCGGCCUCCGCGACCCUGUUUCAGGACUUGACCUUGGCGGUUUGUUUCAGGGAAAGAUGUCUCAGCCUCGGUCCUACUCACUUUGGGGGUCGGAUAAUUCUGUUUGUGGGCGGCUGUCUUGUGCUCACCUGCCGUCCACCCAAUGUUUGCAAGCGGUUGUCACAACCAAAGGUGUCUCCAGGCUUUGCCCAAUACGCCCUCCGGGGGAAAAGGUUGAGAACCACUAUUUAUUUAGGAGAUAUCCUGGAUUUUCGGGAAGCAACCGUUUUCAAAGAAAGGAAGAUAAGCCGGGAGCAAAGAUGUCUUAGCCACGCGAAUGACGGGCGAGGGAGCCCCUCUUGCAGAAGCUCUCAGUCCGGGUCCCAGUCGGCGUCCAGGAGUGGGAGGCGGCCCGGGGACCGAAGCGGGUCAGGGGCUCGACUGAUGGAGAAGGCGCCCCUGGUGGAGUUAGGUGCUGCUAGAGGUUUCACCCGCAGAGCCCGACGUGAUCCCUCAGCGCCCGUACCGAGAGGCGCCGCUGCUGUCCCGAAGGGAUCACCCGUCUCCGCGGCACCGAUCCCGGAGCAGGUCCUGCUCCUGGAGAAGGUCGUACUAUUAAAGAGCCUACGCGACGCGACCUUGGCCCAAUGGUAUACCGAGCGGAACCCGCCAGAUCGAGGGAGAGAUCCAGGAAAACAACAUUUGUCAUUAAAAGAGGCACACAGCGAUUGUGCGGUGGCACAUACAUGUAAUCGCAGUGGCUUUGGAGGCUGAAGCAGGAGGAUCGCAAGUUCAAAGCCAGCUUCAGCAAUUUUCCGGGACCCUAAGAAACUUAGUGAGACCCUAAAAUAAAACAUAAAGGACUAGGGAUGUGACUCCGUGG